GUCGUCUACAUCACCUACCGGAACAAGUAUUCACCCAACGCCGCCAUCUUUGCCGGCCACGAUCCUUCCUUUCGAGUCACCGCCAAUUCCAUAAAGGUGCUUCCUUUCUCUUGUUCCCUUUUCACUUAUUGCUUAUUAGCAAUGCUGCAGUUUCGUUGGUCAAAUUUGAAAUUCCUUAUUUUUCUUAAUGAAUCCAACACUAACGCAAAAUUCCAGCUAAAUUCUAAGGGUUUAGUAAUUUUUUUGAAGCUUUGUAGUUUAAGGGUAUAUACCGUAUUCAUCUACGUUCCUUGUAUUUCAUGUCGUUUUUUAUCCCCAGAGCUGUUUCUUCCGGAUAGCACUUCCUAA